AGUAAAAGUGGAUAUGGAGUAAAAAAUGUUCUGACUCAACUCCAUAUAUCACUCCAUAAUGGAGUGAGAAAUGAAGUGGAAUUGAAGCAUUUUUACUUCAUAUCCACUUUUAC
rnacentral:pre_miRNA from 1 species